UACGGAGGGGGCAAGCGUUAUUCGGAAUCAUUGGGCGUAAAGGGCGCGUAGGCGGCUUGGCAAGUCAAAGGGGAAAUCCCUCGGCCUAACCGAGGAACUGCCUUUGAUACUGCUUGGCUUGAGGCCGGGAGAGGGUAGCGGAAUUCCCAGUGUAGCGGUGAAAUGCGUAGAUAUUGGGAGGAACACCAGUGGCGAAGGCGGCUACCUGGACCGGUUCUGACGCUGAGGCGCGAAAGCGUGGGGAGCAAACAGG
rnacentral:rRNA from 1 species